rnacentral:pre_miRNA from 7 species
AUCUCAUCUUGAAAGACCCCCGAAGGGAGACCCUCACUCAAGCCUCGGGACAGCCGCGGACCCAAGAAGACACUGAGACCG